UUUUUACAUUUGCUCUGGGUUGUGUUUGUGCUUCAGUGGAGUUUUUUCUUGGCCCCUCAUUAGGGUCUAAACUAUUACAGACACUGUAGUGCUACAUCUCCCAAAUAGACUCCCAAGUGCACCAGAACUUCUAUGUUGCAUGCGAGGCUGCUGUGAGCUGAAUGGUAAAUAUGGAGCUGUAUGCUAGCUAUGUACAUCAGUCCAUGUUCUGCUACUUUGAUCGUGCUGAUAUGGCUCUGAGACAUGUAACCCAGUUCGUCAAGAAGUCCUAUGAGCUGAAGGAGCAUGCAGAGAGGCUUCUGUCAUACCCAAACAAGCGGGGGGUACAUUGUCCUGCAGGACAUUAAGCUCUGACUUCCUGGAGUCUGAGUAUCUGGAGGAGCAGGUGAAGGCCAUCAAGCAACUAGGAGACCACCUCACCAACCUGAAGCACCUGGGAGUGCCCCAGAACAGCAUGGGAGAGUACCUGUUUGACAAGCACACCCUGGGGGAGAGCAGCUGAACUCUUCACUACUGUCUUUCAUUCUGCUACUUUGACUGUGAUGAUGUGGCCUUAGGCACAUGGCCGAGCUCCUGAAGGAACAGUUGUGUGAAGAGAGGGAGCAUGCAGAGAUGUUCCUGAAAUACCAGAACAAAGGAGGAGGAGGGUGCAUUGUUCUGCAGGACAUCAAGACUAAAGAAAAGAAUUAUUACUACCACCAAGAGGCACAGCGAGAGCUGCCAUCGGGGCGAGCCAAGGUCAUGGAUUCCACCACUUUCAUGCAGAUGCAGUACACCUCGUCUAGACAGAAGAGGAAGCAGCACGUUCGGCAAUUUUGUGUCUGGAAAGCAGUUCUCCCCAUGGGCAGACUCCUCCUACCUGCCCUGCUCCCUUCGGCUUGCUCUUCCUGGACAGAUUUCACUCCCCUACUUCCUCCUGGAUGGACUCUUGUUUCCCCUCCCUCACCUGAAUCCUUGAAUUUCCAUCCACGUGAGGCCACUCAUCUCAACUGAAACCAGAAGACAACUGGCCAGCAGCAGUGAGCUAUUUAUUACACCCUUCCCUUCUGUUCUGCCUCCAUAAUACAACUAGGUUCUCUCCAAUCGCAGAUCCUGGAUCCCAAGAAGCCAAGAUCCGGUCCUGCAUUUACACUCACAGCUUUCAUUGUCACUUUCCCCAUCUGUAAAGGAAUAGUGAUAUUAACCCCUUUGAGAAGUGCUUUGCGAUCUAUGGAUAAAAAGUGCAAUAUAAUAAUAGUUAGGUAUUUUUAUUAGGUCACCUCUGACUUGAGUCCAUCAUUAUCCCCUUUGUGAGCUAUUUUGAGACCAUGUCCUUUAUGGAACUGUUGAAGUAUUAAAGCAUAACAAGGAAACCAAACUCCAUAGAAAGAAAACUUCAUAUCCAGAUGUGAAAAUGACUAGAUUGUUCAUUCAAAUAUUUUUAAGCCAAAGUCUGAGAAAAACACAAAAAUGAUAGAGUGGUAUUGCCCUUUGUAGAACCAAAUCCUAUGGAGAGAUUCCUUAGUAGCUUAUUUGUGUGACUAACUCUUACUAAGAGAUUCACAGUGCUGUACUUUGCAAGUAUAAGAGAUUAGGGUACAAGCAGAUCAACUUGAGUAUAUUAAAAUGGAGGCUAUGCUUCCAAUCCAUGUCCAAUGAUAAUUCCAAGUUCAAUUAAAAGGCUUGUUUUGCCAUUGUGAUGCAGU